rnacentral:rRNA from 1 species
CGUGUAGGCGGUCGAUUAAGUCUGCUGUGAAAUCUCCAGGCUCAACCUGGAAGGGUCGGUGGAAACUAGUCGACUUGAGGACGGUAGAGGGGGUGGAAUUCCCGGUGUAGUGGUGAAAUGCGUAGAGAUCGGGAGGAACACCAGCGGCGAAGGCGGCCCCCUGGGCCGCUCCUGACGCUGAGACGCGAAGGCCAGGGUAGCGAACG